rnacentral:rRNA from 1 species
CAGAGGUUACUGCUAUCGAGAUUCGMCUAAGCCAUGCGAGUUGAAUGUUCUUCGUGAACAUGGCGGACUGCUCAGUAACACGUGGACAACCUACCCUUGGGUCCGGCAUAAUCCUGGGAAACUGGGAAUAAUUCCGGAUAGGUCACCGAUGCUGGAAUGCGCGGUGGCCGAAAGCUCCGGCGCCCGAGGAUGGGUCUGCGGCCUAUCAGGGUUGUAGUGGGUGUAACGUACCUACUAGCCUACGACGGGUACGGGUUGUGAGAGCAAGAGCCCGGAGAUGGAUUCUGAGACACGAAUCCAGGCCCUACGGGGUGCAGCAGGCGCGAAAACUUUACAAUGCGGGAAACCGUGAUAAGGGGAUCUCGAGUGCCAGCAUAUAAUGUUGGCUGUCCAGAUGCCUAAAAAGCAUCUGUUAGCAAGGGCCGGGCAAGACCGGUGCCAGCCGCCGCGGUAACACCGGCGGCCCGAGUGGUAACCGCUAUUAUUGGGUCUAAAGGGUCUGUAGCCGGCCAGGUAAGUCCCUUGGGAAAUCUGGCAGCUCAACUGUCAGGCUGCUAGGGGAUACUGUUUGGCUUGGGACCGGGAGAGGUGAGAGGUACCUUGGGGGUAGGGGUGAAAUCUUGUGAUCCUCGAGGGACCACCAGUGGCGAAGGCGUCUCACCAGAACGGGUCCGACGGUAAGGGACGAAAGCUAGGGGCACGAACCGGAUUAGAUACSCGGGUAGUCCUAGCCGUAAACGAUGCUCGCUAGGUGUCAGUCACGGUGCGACCGUGAUUGGUGCCGUAGGGAAGCCGUGAAGCGAGCCACCUGGGAAGUAUGGCCGCAAGGCUGAAACUUAAAGGAAUUGGCGGGGGAGCACUACAWCGKKUGGAGCCUGCGGUUUAAUG